rnacentral:rRNA from 1 species
UACAGAGGUCUCGAGCGUUAGGCGGAAUCACUGGGCUUAAAGCGUGUGUAGGUGGAUGCCUAAGUACCUUGUGAAAUCCCACAGCUUAACUGUGGAACUGCUUGGUAUACUGGGUGUCUUGAGUCACUCAGGGGCGAGCGGAACAAAUGGUGGAGCGGUGAAAUGCGUAGAUAUCAUUUGGAACGCCAAUGGUGAAAACAGGCAGCUGGGAGUGUGCUGACGCUGAGACACGAAAGCCAGGGGAGCGAACGGG